AGACGUGAAUACCCGCUGAACUUAAGCAUAUCAGUAAGCGGAGGAAAAGAAACUAACAAGGAUUCCCUUAGUAACGGCGAGUGAAA
rnacentral:rRNA from 1 species